CUCUCUCUCUCUCUCUCUCUCUCUCUCUCUCUCUCUCUCUCUCUCUCUCUCUCUCUCUCGUUGCUCUGUGAUUGAUUCCAUAUUGACGUAAUCUCUGUGAUUUCUCUGUCAUUUUAGGGCACGGGCGGCGUCUAGAGAUAUGAGGAAGAGAACCCACCCACAUCUAGAGAUUUGUGCCACUGUAUGGUAUUUUUAUGUGUUUUCUUACUCAGUUGCUGCUGAAAUUUGAUGAUGAGUGAGUGACAAAAGAAGAUGGAAAUAGGGCAUUAAAGGAGUAACAUGGGUGAGGCAGAGGGUAACAUGUUUAAUAUCUCAUGGUUGACCAUAUUGGAACAUUGCAACCAAAACAAGAGAUUCAAAUGACUAUAUUCUCAUGGUGGUUUGUUUGGGCGGCUCAUGCAUGUGUCGAGGGGUUCAGUUGGGGUUGCUUGUGGCUGUGUGGACAUAUAAAAGUUGAUAGAAUUCUACAAGUACACGAUGAUCUGAAUAUAUGUGGUUCGACUCGAGGUUGGAUGUAAAAUAUGAGAGUUCAUAAAUAGGGCAUAGUUGUAAAGAUGUGGCUGCUUAUAUAUAUGUGCAUAUUAGCUGCUGCCCUGAAAGAAGCACGACUGUAAGUUGAUGGUAAAGAUGGCCCGAAAUGCUGCACCUUAGUGUUAGUGGAACCAAGGAUGAUAGAGAGAUGCUGAAAGUGGAAACAAUUUGCUUGAAGAAAUUUGACGCACACCUGCUUUCCCAACAUUCAUUUUGAAGUUAAAGAGGAACCUCCACUAAUUCAGUACAUGACAAGUGUUUAUAUUAUUUUGGUUAACAUUUGAUGGAAUGUAAUAUGAUAUUAUUUAUGUAAUUUGCAUGACUGGAUGAUUGCAACAGUUUAAUAUAUAGAAAUUCUGUUAUUUAU